rnacentral:tRNA from 1 species
GCCCGGAUGGCAGAGUUGGUCCAAUGCGCUGGCCUUUCAAGUCAGUGAGUUGAGGCUCACGCGGGUUCGAAUCCCGCUCCGGGCACCA